GAUGAACGCUGGCGGCGUGCCUAAUACAUGCAAGUCGAGCGAACGGACGAGAAGCUUGCUUCUCUGAUGUUAGCGGCGGACGGGUGAGUAACACGUGGAUAACCUACCUAUAAGACUGGGAUAACUUCGGGAAACCGGAGCUAAUACCGGAUGAUAUUUUGAACCGCAUGGUUCAAAAGUGAAAGACGGUCUUGCUGUCACUUAUAGAUGGAUCCGCGCUGCAUUAGCUAGUUGGUAAGGUAACGGCUUACCAAGGCAACGAUGCAUAGCCGACCUGAGAGGGUGAUCGGCCACACGGGAACUGAGACACGGUCCAGAGUCCUACGGGAGGCAGCAGUAGGGAAUCUUCCGCAAUGGGCGAAAGCCUGACGGAGCAACGCCGCGUGAGUGAUGAAGGUCUUCGGAUCGUAAAACUCUGUUAUUAGGGAAGAACAUAUGUGUAAGUAACUGUGCACAUCUUGACGGUACCUAAUCAGAAAGCCACGGCUAACUACGUG
rnacentral:rRNA from 1 species